ACGAACGACUGUCCCGUUUUCGUGGCGACGUGGGAUGGCUGACACACGGUCUCCCUUGGAUGUCCUUCGACGCUGCUCGCUGGACGGAUCACCUUUCUCCGGUGCUGUACUGUUCCGCGAUUUGCGCGCACGUGAACUUGCCCACGAGCGUCGACCAAACUGAUGUCAUCUACGAAGACUCUCCACAUGUUGUUGCCAAUUGUUUUAUUGUUUCUCCGAGCAACGUAUGCUGCCGAAGAUGUGGAAGCUAGGCGAGAUCGACAAGGGUGUUACUGUCCACCUCGAUUAGGCUUGGGAAAUCCUAGAGCAAACAUGUAUUACUACGAUCACGGAAGCAACCAGUGUUUCCCCAACGCCGAGCAGUACAACUGCAACGCAUAUCAAUCACAAGAGACGUGCGAGCACCUCUGCGUACCCCUUGCGUAAUAAAACCCGAUGUAUCAUCAUCUUUUCUGUGUGAUCCCUUGA